rnacentral:tRNA from 1 species
UGAUCUGUAGCUCAGCAUGGAGGCAGCACCGCUCUUUUAAAGCGGGGGUCGUGGGUUCGAGCCCCACCGGGUCAA